rnacentral:rRNA from 1 species
CACAGCUCUGCAUGGAGCAGUGUGAAAAACUACCGGUGGUGUGAGAUGGACCCGCGUCUGAUUAGCCAGUUGGCGGGGUAACGGCCCACCAAAGCGACGAUCAGUAGCCGGCCUGAGAGGGUGAACGGCCACAUUGGGACUGAGACACGGCCCAAACUCCUACGGGAGGCAGCAUG